UAUGUGGAUUAAUUCGAUGCAACGCGAAAAACCUUACCUGGCCUUGACAUGCCACUAACGAAGCAGAGAUGCAUUAGGUGCCCGAAAGGGAAAGUGGACACAGGUGCUGCAUGGCUGUCGUCAGCUCGUGUCGUGAGAUGUUGGGUUAAGUCCCGCAACGAGCGCAACCCUUGCCGAUAGUUGCUACAUUCAGUUGAGCACUCUAUUGGGACUGCCGGUGACAAACCGGAGGAAGGUGGGGAUGACGUCAAGUCCUCAUGGCCCUUAUGGCCAGGGCUUCACACGUAAUACAAUGGUCGGUACAGAGGGUUGCCAACCCGCGAGGGGGAGCUAAUCUCAGAAAGCCGAUCGUAGUCCGGAUUGCACUCUGCAACUCGAGUGCAUGAAGUCGGAAUCGCUAGUAAUCGCGGAUCAGCAUGCCGCGGUGAAUACG
rnacentral:rRNA from 1 species